rnacentral:rRNA from 1 species
UUCGGGGUACUCGAGUGGCGAACGGGUGAGUAACACGUGGGUGAUCUGCCCUGCACUUCGGGAUAAGCCUGGGAAACUGGGUCUAAUACCGGAUAUACCUCAGUGGUUGCAUGACUGUUGGGGGAAAGCUUUUGCGGUGUGGGAUGGGCCCGCGGCCUAUCAGCUUGUUGGUGGGGUGAUGGCCUACCAAGGCGUCGACGGGUAGCCGGCCUGAGAGGGUGUCCGGCCACACUGGGACUGAGAUACGGCCCAGACUCCUACGGGAGGCAGCAGUGGGGAAUAUUGCACAAUGGGCGCAAGCCUGAUGCAGCGACGCCGCGUGGGGGAUGACGGCCUUCGGGUUGUAAACCUCUUUCAGUAGGGACGAAGCGCAAGUGACGGUACCUACAGAAGAAGCACCGGCCAACUACGUGCCAGCAGCCGCGGUAAUACGUAGGGUGCGAGCGUUGUCCGGAAUUACUGGGCGUAAAGAGCUUGUAGGUGGUUUGUCGCGUUGUUCGUGAAAUCUCACGGCUUAACUGUGAGCGUGCGGGCGAUACGGGCAGACUAGAGUACUGCAGGGGAGACUGGAAUUCCUGGUGUAGCGGUGGAAUGCGCAGAUAUCAGGAGGAACACCGGUGGCGAAGGCGGGUCUCUGGGCAGUAACUGACGCUGAGAAGCGAAAGCGUGGGGAGCGAACAGGAUUAGAUACCCUGGUAGUCCACGCCGUAAACGGUGGGUACUAGGUGUGGGUUUCCUUCCUUGGGAUCCGUGCCGUAGCUAACGCAUUAAGUACCCCGC